rnacentral:lncRNA from 1 species
AUUUAAUUCAGUUCAACUCAAAGGCUGAGGAAUAAAAGAAGGAAAAGAAUAUCUGUGCAAGGCAAAUAAUUUGGAAAUGGAUUAACCUGCCCAUUUUUCAUGUAAGAGUUUAGUACAGAAAUAUUCUGCUUUCCUUUUUUGCUUUUUUCCGAUAAAUGCUAUGAGUCACCCCCUUUGUCUGUAGAAACUAACAUGGUAGUUGUCUUACUUAAAAUCACAAGCCAUCUGUGGUAAAGAGUGCCUGGGUUUGACUCCCAUCUCAGCCGCUUCCUAGCCAUGUGGCCCCAGGUAAGUCACUCAGCCCAAUCCCACAGGGAGCUCUGCAGCCUAAAUUACACCUUAGGUUUUUCCUGCAUUGAGAUAAGUUUGCUGGCUUUUCAAACUCUCCCACCAGUUGACCAUUGGCUAAGGGCCAGGAAAUGAAGGAGAGAAGAGAGGAUGCGAAAGUCCAGGCACUUUCAGUGAUCUGCACAUGUAACAAAGUGGUGCUGCCUGUGUUAGCCACUAAAGCAUCAAGCACUGGGGAACGUGGGGCACACAGGACUGGCCAACCAGGUCUGAGGGUUCUGGCCAGAGCACAGGCAGGGUCCUGUGCAGUGUGGGAAUCUUUUCCCUCUUUAUCCUAUGCUGUAGGAAUGACUGCCUGGCAGGACUGCUCAGGGUAGAUCCUCAGUGCUCUAGAGCUGUGAUUCCUGCCAUUCUGGAGGGCAAUUGGGAUCCUUUUCUCCCAGCCUCCUCUUUCUGCCUUGAUGAGCGGAACUUUGCUCUUGGAGCCUGGUGCUGAGACACGGAAUAUACAAGGAAGCGUAAGGCAAAGUCUCUGCGGUUUACAGAGCUCACUGUCUUGUGAGGGAGGCAGCCAUGUAUACAAUUGGCUAAAAUAAUUCCUAAAGACUGACACUAGGGCUAUGAAGAGGUAAAAACACAGUGCUGUGGGAACACAAGAGAAGGAGCAGAGAAUUCAAAUGGGGGCUUUGAGGGAAAACUUCAUGGCAGUGGUGCCAUUUCAGCUAAGCCUUGAAGGAUAAAUAUCAGUAAGAUUUGGAGAUGGGAAAGAAAGGGAGGGCACUGUGGAUUGAGGGAGCAGCAUGAGCAAAUACUGUGAGAAAUGAGGCAGGUAGUUUGCUUGGAGCAAUGAAUAUUCCACUGACUACCCAGGAUACCUUAGUGGGACGUGAGUCAGGAGAAGCAGGACCUGGAUGCUGUGGAAGCUUUCAUGGAGGGACAGUGCUGUCAACAAUGACCAGGUUUUAUAGCAUGGUGCUCUUAACACUGUGGCUUCGUUAUGCUACAUCAAAGAUGUGUUUUGAUAAACUGUCCUCAUAAAGGAUGUAACAGGAGUUUCCAAUAGAAAUAACAUUCCAAACUGAAGUGUAAAACUAGGAUUUACAAAGCAGGUGACUGAAAACUUAAAACCCUGAAGCUUUCAUCCAUGUUGAGGAUAUAGAAGAGCUGAGGAGAGGAGUACUUUUGAAGAUGAAUUUUGGGAGAGCGUUUUUGGGGAGAGUGGGUUCCAACCCAAGGGAAUCCCCAAAAUUAGUAGUCUCCCAUUCUCUUCAGAUAAAGAGACAGGGGCUUCUAGCACACCAAUUGGAGUUGUGUGUCCCUUUGAGCUGGACUUGUGUCUGACAUCGUCUGGAAAGUCCAAAAGGUGAGAGAUGGACUGGCUAGUUGCUCUGACCUGAGGAGUGAAGGAGAGAUUGCUGUGUGAUGGGAUUGACCAGCACUUCCAGAGUUGCUGGGGCAGGUAACAGCAAAAGAUGGCUGGCGUGGGGUCUCCUUAAGUCCUGUCUGAAAUGGCCUCGAGGGAGACCCCCUCAGACUUCAGCAGAGGGAAGCUUGAGGUACAACUGGAUUUCUUAGGGCUAAAGAAGAAAUAAGCCACAGCUGGAAUAGAAAAGCAUUCUGCUGGUGGCAGAUCCAUCGUUAUGGAGCAUCUCCAGAGAACCCAGAAAAUGGCCCACGAGAGAUUUAUUUUUAGACAUCUGCCAGGCCUGGAGAGUGGCAAUGCUCAAUUAUCACAGUAGUAUCAGUCAAGUAAGAACAUAUCUGCCCUAUUUCCUUCACGUCUUCCAUGACUUCUAAUACAGAGGGGUCAGAAAGCACAUUAGGCAAGCUGAGGAAGGAGGGAUAAAAGUAUCGGGCCAUGGAAGAGGGAAGAAAUUUCCUUUCACCCAUUUCCUGAUCUGAGGCUUCUUGAGUACACUAGGCCCUAGCUUGGGGUAGGAGUGAGAGGUGAGGGAAGAAGUGUUAACCCUAUAGCAAGACUGAAGUUUACACGGGAUUGGAUAUUUUAAAUAAUAGAUUGGGAAUACUCGUAUUUCUUAAAGGUUAUCAGAAAAGUCAUGAGACUGCCCAAAUUUUCAUCCAAGGGCAUCCACCAAUUAAGCCCCACUGAAUAAGUCAUUGUAUGGCUGAACCCCAUGAGUUAUGCUUGUUUAAUGUAGUGGUGACACUACUAAUUCUUCUUAAAAUUGUUUCCAUGGGAAAAACUCAUUCAGUUCCCAAAAGAUGGAAUACUGCACAUCGACACUUGCUUAUUUGCCCAUGUUGGGUAAUUGUGUGAUGGUUAUAAGCGUGCCAGCCAAUGAAUUAAUGAUUCUGAUUUAAGGGCCAAAUAAGUGACUUCCAGGCUCUUAAGAUGACACCUAAUCUAGAGUGAAAUGAGACACUGUCUUCAAUUGAUCUGCUUAAAGUUGUCCCAGCAUCAGAUACAUGAGAUCUUGCCACCAGGACCCGGGCCCUCACUUCUCUGCCUCCAUGCUGAGCUACAGCCCCUCCAUGACGUUCACCAGCUCCCACCAUGCCCCUUAACCAGGCACUCAUCCCACCAGUUCCCAAUCAAAGCCAAGGAAAUUACUUUUUCCCCAGUGGGGUUCUGCUAGGCCUUCAGGACUUGAAUAAAAGGCAACACAGAUGCUAAUGCUCACAGACUGACUGCAUUGUCUGAGCUCUUCUAAGAACUAUAUGCCAAGCUUUUAAAGAAGCUGUGCAUCCUCUUCAAUCCUGCUUAAGUGUUUUGUGGAGAAAAAUUUUCUUUUAAAACAAGGUCAGUAAACUUUGGCCCAUGGGCCAAAUCCAGGCCUCUGCCUGUUUUGUUUUGUUUUUUUAAAUGCAACGUGAAUGUUUAUUUAGUUUACAGUCCUUACAUGUCAUUAAGCCAAACAGCAGAACUUUGUGUUAUGGAAAGAAGGUAUGGAGGGACCCCAUUCGAUGUAUCCCUCGUAGAGGAAGGUGUUAUAUAUUAUUGAGGUCUUUUUUUUCCUUGCCUUUUAUUUUAUAUAUACAUAUUUAUAUAUUUUUUAAAUUUGAGUUCAUAAUAGUUUACAUCAUUAUGAGAUUUCAGUUGUACAUUAUUUAUCGUCUGUGGCCACAUAAGUGCUCCCCUUCACCUCCUGUGCCCACCUCCACCCCCCUUCCCCUGGUAACCACUGAACUGUUUUCUUUGUCCAUGUGUUUGUUCAUAUUCCAUAUAUGAGUGAAAUCAUCUGGUGUUUGUCUUUCUCAGUCUGACUUAUUUCACUUGGCAUAAUUCCCUCCAGGUCCAUCCAUGUUGUUGCAAAUGGGAUGAAUUUGUCUUUUUUCUGGCUGAGUAGUAUUCCAUUGUAUAUAUACACCACAUCCUCUUCAUCCAAUCAUCAGUCAAUGGGCACUUGGGUAGUUUCCAUGUCUUGGCUAUUGUGAAUAGUGCUGCAAUGAACAUAGGGGUGCAUAUGUUACUUUGGAUUGUUGAUUUCAAGUUGUUUGGGUAGAUACCUAGUAGUGGGAUAGCUGGGUCAUAUGGUAGUUCUCUCUUUGGUUUUUUGAGGAAUCUCCAUACUGUUUUCCAUAGUGGCUCACCAGUUUGCACUCCCACCAGGCCUCUGCCUGUUUUUCUGUAGCCUGUGAGCUAGUAAUGGUUAUCACAUUUUUAAAUGUUUGGG